UAUAACACCAGCAGCUCAAACCUACCAAUCUCAUACUGUACACCUCACUCAGUCUUCAGGUUUGAACUAACAUCUGAAAAGUGUUGGCACUGCUACCACUUGACUGUGGUUGUCCAAAGACAUCAAGGGGGAAGACAGAAAUUUAUGAACAUGGAGAAGAGAGGGUAUGGACCUGAUGAUGGCGAAGGAGGCGAUGGAGGCCCGCCUUACCGCCGCUGAUUCUGAGAAUGCAUAUGAAGAAGGAAGACCUGAAGACGGGGAAUUCAGCAUCAGCUCUGUUGCUUUGCACUUUUUAAUCAUGAAUUUUAAAUAAACCCGACAGAAUCACUGUCUUGGGUUCAUGUCAAUCAUCCUGCUUUAGCAAAUGAACAAGUUGCAUCAUAAAA